GACGAACGCUGGCGGCGUGCUUAACACAUGCAAGUCGAACGGAAAGGCCCUGCUUUUGUGGGGUGCUCGAGUGGCGAACGGGUGAGUAACACGUGAGUAACCUGCCCUUGACUUUGGGAUAACUUCAGGAAACUGGGGCUAAUACCGGAUAGGAGCUCCUGCUGCAUGGUGGGGGUUGGAAAGUUUCGGCGGUUGGGGAUGGACUCGCGGCUUAUCAGCUUGUUGGUGGGGUAGUGGCUUACCAAGGCUUUGACGGGUAGCCGGCCUGAGAGGGUGACCGGCCACAUUGGGACUGGGAUACGGCUCAGACUCCUACGGGAGGCAGCAGUGGGGAAUAUUGCACAAUGGGCGGAAGCCUGAUGCAGCAACGCCGCGUGCGGGAUGACGGCCUUCGGGUUGUAAACCGCUUUCGCCUGUGACGAAGCGUGAGUGACGGUAAUGGGUAAAGAAGCACCGGCUAACUACGUG
rnacentral:rRNA from 1 species